rnacentral:lncRNA from 1 species
AUUCAAUCAAAUAAUUGAGGAUACUGGGCUCUGAAGUCUGCUUUUAGCUCUCAUGUGGUCUCUCCUUGUGUGUGAUUCUGCCAUAAGAUCUUAACGAAGAGAAUUUUUUGGUUACAGAGUACUAUACUCUUUCGGUCCACAAUACCCAUCAGUAUCUUCUCGUAUGACAGAUCCUCCUAGAGCAAAAGGGGCUCGUGGGACAGGAC